rnacentral:tRNA from 1 species
GCCUGGAUAGCUCAGUUGGUUAGAGCAUUGUGCUGAUAAUACCAAAGUUGAAAGGUUCAAUCCCUGUAUGGGACA